rnacentral:rRNA from 1 species
GACGUAGGAUGCAAGUGUUAUCCGGAAUCACUGGGCGUAAAGCGUCUGUAGGUGGUUUAAUAAGUCAACUGUUAAAUCUUGAGGCUCAACCUCAAAAUCGCAGUCGAAACUAUUAGGCUAGAGUAUAGUAGGGGUAAAGGGAAUUUCCAGUGGAGCGGUGAAAUGCGUAGAGAUUGGAAAGAACACCGAUGGCGAAGGCACUUUACUGGGCUAUUACUAACACUCAGAGACGAAAGCUAGGGUAGCAAAUGGG